UGGGUCUGAGCUAAAUUCCUCUGUGUAGCUA
rnacentral:piRNA from 1 species